UACGUAGGGGGCAAGCGUUGUCCGGAAUCAUUGGGCGUAAAGAGCGCGUAGGCGGCCCGACAAGUCCGCUGUGAAAGUCAAGGGCUCAACCCUUGAAUGCCGGUGGAUACUGUCGGGCUAGAGUCCGGAAGAGGCGAGUGGAAUUCCUGGUGUAGCGGUGAAAUGCGCAGAUAUCAGGAGGAACACCGAUGGCGAAGGCAGCUCGCUGGGACGGUACUGACGCUGAGACGCGAAAGCGUGGGGAGCAAACAGG
rnacentral:rRNA from 1 species